UCCAGGACCCUGCCCCACGGCAGACCGGCCUCUGCCCUGUGGAUCCCAGGACCCUGCCCAACAGCAGGCUGCCCUCUGCCCUGUGCAUCCCAAGCACUUUCUCUGUGCUGCCUGGUGUUGCAGAAGUCCUGCCUCGCCAUGGACACCGUGGAAAUGAACAGGCUUGCUGAGUGACUGGCAUUUGCAAAGCUUUCACAAAUAACACUAAACACCGUGAUUUCCUCAAGAUGUUCUGGAGCCCUCAGACUGGGCCCUCUCUGUUGUGGGGUGCUCAAUCUUCCCAGGCUCAGGCUGCCCCAGGGGCUGGGCCACGCUGCCCCAGGGGCUGGGCCACGCAGCCCCUAUCGUCACCCUCACUACCCAGGCCUCUAGCCUGCACCCUUCCCCUCCCUACACUCCCCACAGGCAGCUCUCAUCAAGCAACUGCUUCUCCAAGCGCUUGUGACUAAACCCCAAAGAGGCCUGGAAAGAGGAUGUUGGAAACAAGCAGGGGGUGCACUUUGGGGGAGGCGAGGCCUGGGAAGCCGGCACACUUCUAUGUGAGUGGAGGCUGUUGGCUGAUUGGCCACUUGACCUUUGACCUGAGCCCCAAGGAAAGUGCACCCUCCUCUCUUUCAUUUUGUUUAUGGCUUCAUACAAGCUUCCCAUUUACGUGAACAUUCUGACAGAAGAGGGCUCUCAUUUGGCCAGGUCCUGAAAGCAGAGAAUUCUGCUCCUUCUAUGGGACCAGCAGCCUCUCUUGCGGGCGUUUGGCUCUGCCUGCGAGGCAGGUGGGCUGCCAAGGCUUCCCAGCUGGGCUUUUCUGCUUUAGAUAAGCUGAGAUAUUUGUGCAUGAAACCUUCUGCGAUGUGACCCUGCGAAAUGCAUGCUGCGCCACACCCUUUUAUCGUUGUUAAUUGAGAGCAGAGUGUUGCUAAACUUACCAUGUGAUGGAUAUUUCUCCGUUUUGAUAUUGCACAGAAUGAAGAACAUAGCAGACAGAUGAAGUAGGCCUGGUGGUGCUCUGAGCAGAACAAAUCCUAAGGCCAGGUUAGACUAGCUUUGCACUGUUUCCCUCGUGUCUAGAUUUCUGAAGGAUGAGUCUUUUGAUUUGUUUCUAACCUGCUUAAAAGAGAUGGGGAGGCGGAGGAAGCAAGGAGCCGAGGUGCAGCCGGAUGCCUCCCAGGAUGAAUAAUGGCAACAAGAAACAGAGUUCUUAAAGCCCAGAUGAUAAGGGCCUCAGUCUGGGUGUGAAUGAACUUGGCCUGACUUCUUUGCUGCCGUCAUAUGAACCGGAAGGAGACAGCUUAGAUAGAGCAAGCCUGCUCCUUCCAGAAGCACGAGGGUCCUGUGGCGGUUUUUGCUUCAAACACCGCAGAACACAGAGCAAACCCCAUGACGCCGUCCUUCAACUAAACAGCCCAAAGCAGCAAACUAGAGGUUUCCAUUUUUAGUUUGCAAGGGGAACAACUGAGCUUUCAUGAGUUGGAAUUUGCUAACGUAAAUUGAGCCUUUGUAAGAGGGCUGAAAUUGACCCUGGAGACGGAAAGCACAGGAAAUAUUUGCUGUGGUCGGUGGGAGAGGACGCUCCGCAGACAAAGCCGCCUGCUUCUCCCGUCAGGCCUGCCUCCUCUCUAGGCAAAUAUUGGAGGGAUGACUUUUUUAUUUGCAGAGAGGAUUUGGCUAAUUUUGUUUUAUUUGUGUACCUUACAUUCAUGGAGCACUCUGCACAGUCUGUUGGAUAAUCUCUAAUUAUUCCUUUCCUCUUCACACCUGUGAGGCCGAUGCUCAGCAUAUUUCAGAGGAAGCUGGCACCAGGGAUGAGGGAAUCUGCCCAAGCAUGAGUCACCUGGAAUAUUAAACCAGAACCAACACACAAAUGAUCUGUGCAAAGAGGCAGCACCAUUGAAGUGUGUUUGACAGACAGAACUACUGUUUUGAAUCAACCCUCUGAGAUGUCUAAAUCAGCCUGUCAGACUUUGCUCCCUCUAUCACGUUUCCCAAGAAGAGGAUCAGAGAUAAAGAGAAAUAUGGAAAUUUGGAGUAAAAGGUGAGUCUAGAGAACAAGAAAAAAAAAAUGUGCCUUCAGAGACUACAACAAAGGAACCCAACAAAAUAUAGGACAAUCUGGUUACUAUGUUGAAGUCACAAAUGUGAAGAAAAUAAUAUACCAAAACGUUUCAGAAAAAUCCAACUACUAUAGCCAAGCGAAUGACACAUUAGUGACAUAAUGAACAAUUAGAAUUAAAACUUUUUAAAGUGUCGUAAAAAUAUUUCUUUAUUGUUUAAAAAUGAGAUUUCAAAAUGUUUCCAAACCUCAUCAGUGAAGGACAUACCUACAUUUCUAACCCAGAUGAGGUUUUUGAAAUGUGGAAUAUAGAAGCAGUCCCUUUAAAAAGAAAAAGAAUGCCUUUCAUGCUGGAUUUGUACAAUUUCCAUAUGUUUUAGUAAUCAAGAAGUACAGAAUCCCUUGAAAUGUGCAGAGAUUCAAGGCUAGAGCCAACAUAGCAUUCAGAGUCUUAAAUAAACAUAUAAUGUUUGGGAAAGCAAUAUUCUGGAUGUUAAUUUUCAAUCUCUAGGUAUACCUGUCAGUCUUUAAGAUGGAAACUUCUGCUUGUCAGAGUUUGAGGCCUCUGUGAACUUGCAGGGGGUGAGUCCUGGCUUGGCCCACUCACCGAUCCCCAAACACUGGCGAGGAAGAAACUGAAACAGCUGUAACCACUCACUUAAAUAUACCAUGGCAUUCGUACAAAUGAUCGUCGACUUUGAACCCAAGAGCUGGGGUCCAAUAGGAAGACAACUCCAAAUCAGGCCUUAAAAACCUGGUUUCAGAAUACACAUUGCUGCCUUGCCUUUGUGGGUUUGUUUAUUCGGCAAUUGCAUGUUAAGGAAGUGGGAGUAGAAAUCACUUAUUUGGACACUUAUUAAGCUGGUCAAAUUCUCCUAAUUCUAGAAUCUGAAGUACAGCAUCUGUGGAAAAAUACAGGGGAUGAGAUUAUAGAGACAGAAACCAGCCUGUAUAAUGCUAAGACUUUCUGUCUGGGGGUGCUAGACAUGUGAGCCCACCACCCUCCCCAGCUAGGUUCAUUUUUUUUUUUUUUUUUUUUUUUUUUUUCUGAAAAUUGCUCAGUUUCCAGCUUAGAAAAGAUUGGACAUAACAUGGAACCUUAGAUCUUUAGCCAAUAACCAUGUUUAUAGGUGCUGAGGACCUGAGAUCCUGCCUAGUUAGAAGCAGAUCUCAAGCACUCACGAUGGCCAUCAGGGAUGAGGUGGUCCAGCUUGAUUCUCUUCUGGAAACCACAGACAUAAAUAGUAUAAUCUAAACACUAACAUACCAUGAAUCAUGGUUUAUAUUUUUAAAUAUUAUUUGCAAAAAUAUAAAAUUGAAGUAAAUUAGUUGCCCCAUUGGUGAGCAAGGCUGUCUUAGAGCAGGCACGCAAGAUUUCUAAGUGGACUAUUUCAGGCCAUGACAACCUUGCCCUUGAACAUGGUCAGAAAGCCCAGGCUGUGCUUUUCAUAAAUAAGAUUCAUGUUCUUUAUUCUGGAACCUAGCACUGUGCCUGGCCCAAAGCUGGUAUUCAAUAGCUAUUCAUGCAGCUAAAUUGGGGAGCUUCUUAGCUGGUCUAACUUGUUCACCGUUCAUUCUGUACUUUGCUACGAUGUUAAUCAGCCUGAUACACUACAUACAAGAAGGAUGUGAACCCAAUCGAGCCCCAAAGCCCUUGUUUCAGGCCUUAGAACCUACUGUUCUUUCUUAUGUAUCCCUUCAUGAAUUCUACAAUGGCCUUCUGAGAAUCUUCUAUGCACCUAUAGUAGCACCUACUGUAUUACUUUUUAUAGUGUAAUUGUGUCUCUUUUUUUUUUUUUUUUUUUUUUUGAGACAGAGUUUUGCUGUUUCUGCCCAGGCUGGAGUGCAAUGGUGCGAUCUCGGCUCACUGCAACUUCCGCCUCCUGGGUUUAAGCAAUUCUCCUGCCUCAUCCUCCUGAGUACCUGGGACUACAGGCAUGCGCCAUCACUCCCAGCUAAUUUUGUAUUUUUAGUAGAGAUGGGAUUUCACUAUGUUGGCCAGGCUGGUUUCGAACUCCUUACCUCAGGUGGUCCGCCUGCCUCGGCCUCCCAAAGUGCUGGGAUUACAGGCAUGAGCCACCCCCACCGGCCCAUAAUUGUGUCUUAAAUAUCCCCCCCAAGAUAUAUUUUUUAAAAUAUCUUGUUUUGCCUUCCUGACUUUCUAAGCUGCGUGCCUUGCACUUGAGGCUGUGUCUGUUUACACCAGGAGAACGCUGCUUUCUUCACCCGAAUCCAGGCCGGUUCAGUGGCUGCUGGGGCCACCUGCAUUUUCUGCUUAUUCCCUGUCUACUUUAGAUCCACAAAAUGCUCCUUCACCACAUGCAGUAGCACCCAAGAAAGCAGUGCCUGCUAGACUAUUAAGCUGAUGACUGCAACAGUGCAGGGGGCACUCAUGAGGUGAGGGACAGAGCUGGGGGGCAGCGGGAACCAUUUCACCCAACUCGACGGCUCCUCUCACCCACAGGUCGACCCAGAUUCCUGUCUCAGUUCCUAGCCUUUCAAAGGAUAGUUUUGGGGUAAAAGUAGUAUUUUUAUAUACAUAUAUAGUAAAAAUAUAAAGAAAUGCCAGGAAGGACCAAGAUCAAAGUCAAGAUGGGUACUUUCCUCCCAUCAUCUGUGACAACAUGGAUGAACCUUGAAGACAUUGUGCUGAGCGAAGCAAACCAGGCACACGUAGACAGGCACCACAUGAUCUCACAUGGGCGAGCUGAAAGGGUUAAACUUAUAGCCGUAGAGAUAGAAUGGUGGCUCCCAGGGCCUGGGGGCUUGGGAGAUGUAGGUCAAAAGAUACAAAGUUUCAGUUAGACAGGAGGCACGAGUUCAAGAGCUGGGUUGUACAACAUGGAGACUACGGUUAAUAACAAUGUAUUAUAUACUUGAAAAUUGCCAAGCGAGUAUCUACUUGCUUUUGUGAUGUGUUCUCAUCACAAAACAGUGAGCUAAUUCAUAUGUUAAUUAGCUGGAUGUAGCCAUUCCCCAAUGUAUACAGAUUUCAAAACUCAUGUUGUACACCAUAAGUAUCUACAAUACUUAUUUGUCCGUUUAGAUAUUAAUUAAUUAAUGAACUAAAGGAAACAACUCGGGGAAAUAAGCAGAACCAAGGCCUUCAUCUUGUUUUGGAACAGCACAUGCACUGUGUAAAUUGAAGAAUAUGCAAAAACAGGCUGGGAGCAGUGGCUCACGCCUGUAAUCCCAGCACUUUGGGAGGCCGAGACGGGUGGAUCUUUUGAGGUCAGGAGUUCAAGACCAGCCUGGCCAACAUGGCGAAACCCCAUCUCUACUAAAAAUACAAAAAAUACCCAGGCGGUAGUGGCAUGUGCCUGUAAUCCCAGAUACUUGAGAGGCCGAGGUAGGAGAAUCGCUUGAUCCCGGGAGGCGGAGGUUGCGGUGAGCCGAAAUCGCACCACUGCACUCCAGUCUGGGCAACAGAGUGAGACCUGUC
rnacentral:lncRNA from 1 species